rnacentral:rRNA from 1 species
AUACGGAGGAUCCGAGCGUUAUCCGGAUUUAUUGGGUUUAAAGGGUGCGCAGGCGGCCAUUUAAGUCAGCGGUUAAAUCGUGGGGCUCCACCCCAUUCUGCCGUUGAUACUGGGUGGCUUGAUUGCGGUCGAGGUUGGCGGAAUUCGUUGUGUAGCGGUGAAAUGCAUAGAUAUGACGAAGAACACCGAUUGCGUAGGCAGCUGACCAGACCGCAAAUGACGCUCAUGCACGAAAGUGCGGGGAUCGGACAGGAUUAGAUACCCUGGUAGUCCGCACAGUAAACGAUGAAUACUUGUUUUCGGCGAUAUAAUGUCAGAGGCAAAGCGAAAGCGAUAAGUAUUCCACCUGGGGAGUACGCCGGCAACGGUGAAACUCAAAGGAAUUGGCGGGG